rnacentral:rRNA from 1 species
GCAGAGCAUCCUACGGGAGGCAGCAGUGGGGAAUAUUGCACAAUGGGCGCAAGCCUGAUGCAGCCAUGCCGCGUGUAUGAAGAAGGCCUUCGGGUUGUAAAGUACUUUCAGCAGUGAGGAAGGUGGAUAUGUUAAUAGCAUACUCAUUUGACGUUAGCUGCAGAAGAAGCACCGGCUAACUCCGUGCCAGCAGCCGCGGUAAUACGGAGGGUGCGAGCGUUAAUCGGAAUUACUGGGCGUAAAGCGCAUGCAGGUGGUUUGUUAAGUCAGAUGUGAAAGCCCGGGGCUCAACCUCGGAAUUGCAUUUGAAACUGGCAAACUAGAGUACUGUAGAGGGGGGUAGAAUUUCAGGUGUAGCGGUGAAAAUGCGUAGAGAUCUGAAGGAAUACCGGUGGCGAAGGCGGCCCCCUGGACAGAUACUGACACUCAGAUGCGAAAGCGUGGGGAGCAAACAGGAUUAGAUACCCUGGUAG